UGGGGAAUCUUGGACAAUGGGCGCAAGCCUGAUCCAGCCAUGCCGCGUGAGUGAUGAAGGCCUUAGGGUUGUAAAACUCUUUCGCCGAGGACGAUAAUGACGGUACUCGGAGAAGAAGCUCCGGCUAACUUCGUGCCAGCAGCCGCGGUAAUACGUAGGCAGCAAACGUUGUUCGGAGUUACUGGGCGUAAAGAGUACGUAGGCGGUUUGCCAAGUUUGGUGUGAAAUCUCCUGGCUUAACUGGGAGGGUGCGCCGAAUACUGGCAGACUUGAGUAUUGGAGAGGAAAGCGGAAUUCCUGGUGUAGCGGUGAAAUGCGUAGAUAUCAGGAGGAACACCGGUGGUGUAGACGGCUUUCUGGACAAUCACUGACGCUGAGGUACGAAAGCGUGGGUAGCAAACAGGAUUAGAUACCCCAGUAGUCCCUGAGCGGGCUGGCAAGGCGCAU
rnacentral:rRNA from 1 species